CACGUAGGGCGCAAGCGUUGUCCGGAAUUAUUGGGCGUAAAGAGCUCGUAGGUGGUUUGCUGCGUCCGCUGUGAAAACCCAAGGCUUAACCUUGGGCUUGCAGUGGAUACGGGCAGACUAGAGGUAGGUAGGGGAGAAUGGAAUUCCCGGUGUAGCGGUGAAAUGCGCAGAUAUCGGGAGGAACACCGGUGGCGAAGGCGGCCCACUGGGCCGGUACUGACGCUGAGGCGCGAAGGCGUGGGGAGCGAACGGG
rnacentral:rRNA from 1 species